GUGCCGAACAGUGCCGAACAGUGCCGAACAGUGCCGAAUACAUUCGAAGCGUAUCGCAGAACUAGCCGAAGUGCUUGUAAUUUCCUCCCUUUCUCCUUCUUCCCUUUUCACUUAAAUUCAAUUGUUUCUUGUAAAAAAAGGAAGUGGUUGUUAUCGAUAAUAAACUUUGUCUAUGAAUUAUUUAAAAAGAGGCAAAAUAUCAGAUAGAAGAAUUCCAAUACUGCGAAAUAACAAAUAACUAACAGAGGGAUGCAUACACAAACUUUGCCUUUAAUCGACUGGACUCGUAAUCAGAUGCCGGCAAUUUUUAAUAGUCCGCAAGGUUCUAGCAAGGAACUUGCGGAGGAGACUGCAAGGAAACUGCUAUUAAAAGUUGACGAAAAGACGUGUAAAAAAGGCAUAUGAGAGCUCAAUAAAAAAGGAAUAUGUAACACACAACCAGUACCGAGCUUCUCGAAAGAAUUUCCAGUUGCAGGAAGCAUCAGAAAGAGAAUUCAAACAGGUAGCUCUUUCAAAUAAACAACCCGAACAUUUCACAAUAUACAAAGAGUCUGGAGUUGUUUAUUCCGAAGAUAUCAAAGUAUGUAAUGUUUUGAAAAUAAGAGAGAGAGAGAGAGAGAGA